CGGGGGGGGCAAGCGUUGUUCGGAAUUACUGGGCGUAAAGGGCUCGUAGGCGGCCAACUAAGUCCGACGUGAAAUCCCCAGGCUUAACCUGGGAACUGCGUCGGAUACUGGAUGGCUUGAAUUCGGGAGAGGGAUGCAGAAUUCCAGGUGUAGCGGUGAAAUGCGUAGAUAUCUGGAGGAAUACCGGUGGCGAAGGCGGCAUCCUGGACCGACAUUGACGCUGAGGAGCGAAAGCUAGGGGAGCAAACGGGAUUAGAUACCCCGGUAGUCCUAGCCCUAAACGACUGAAUGCUUGGUGUGGCGGGUAUCGAUCCCUGCCGUGCCGAAGCUAACGCAUUAAGCAUUCCGCCUGGGGAGUACGGUCGCAAGGCUG
rnacentral:rRNA from 1 species